CGAGUUGCUGGGGGCCCCUGAAAAAUUUUUGUAGGGCCCCAGACUUUUUUGUGUGUUAAAUAUUUCCGCGCAAAGGACAAGAUAUCUGUUUUCUUGGGCUAAGUACCGAAUUUUAGCAUAAAAAAAUGAGAUAAAGUCCCUCGAAAGCAUUUGCAACGUACUCGUCCGGCAAAAUUUUGUACUCCGGAAAAAAUUUUUUACCCCUAAAAUGGUACACUGGCCGAAAAUUUUUUGGCGGGGGGUGGGGGGAGGUUGUUAUCCGGAAAAAAAUUUUUCCGGGAAAAAUUUUUUAGAUAGGGGCCCCUAAAAAAAAUUUUGCCCCGGGCCCCCGCCAACCUCUGGGCGGCCCUGGGAAGAGGUGUUAAAUGGCAAUGUAACAAACCCUACCCCUACUCUAACCCUUAACCCUAACCGCAACCCUGACUCUAACCCUAACCCUAACCCUAACCGAAUUAAUAAAAAAAUCCAAAAAGAAACGACUUUACAAAAUCGAUAGGGCGGUUUGCUGGAUGGAAAAUAGUGCUAACCAACUUACCAACCCAGUCAGAUAUGCCAAACAUAAUGCCAAACCGUCAAACUCGCGCCCGCGAAAUUUUCGUCUAGCGACAACAAAAGUAUGGAUUUUCGAAUAUUGAAUCCAAAUGUUACAGUAAUACAAGUGAUUUUGUACCCUGCUAGCAGAGUAUAGUGAUUUUGUUGCAAGAAAUAAGUUUAUAAAUAAAGUUCUGCAUCGAUUAUCAAAGCUUGAGAUUGAUAAUCAUAUAGAGAGUACAUUUUAACAGUGCGAUCACUGCGAUGGACGAACUAAAAUUAUUAACGGACGAAGCAAGCAAAAUACUGCUGCUUGUGCUGAACAAAGGGCUGACCGCCUCAAAUCGUGUUCUAGAAAUGUCAGGCUUACAAGAUCAGUUCCAUUCUGCUGCUGAUUCGCUUCAUGAUUAUCCUAUUACUACACUUCUUAUUGUCGUACAUUUUAUUACAGUCCAUUUUAAGAUAAGGACAUCUGAAGGUAUGUCAUUUGUUUUGAAAUAGCAAUUUAUAAUAUAUUAAUUUUUUGUAUGUGUUUUGAUGUUAUGUACUCGGGUGAAUAUGUUGUAAAGCACACACAAAAAAUAUCAUGAUGAUCAUCGGAACACAUUGGUAUCGAAGGUACUAGACUUAGGGGCUGUUUAUAUGAGAUGCGGGACAGGACGUUUGCCGGGACGGGACAAUUUAUACAUUCAAUUGGAGCCAGACAUUCCAACCUCCGAGUCCUCAAAACCGGGACACUUCCCAAUUUUCCCAUUUUACUUAAACAAACGCCUCCCUCGAAUAAACGCCUCCCUCGAAUAAACGCAUCCAUCCAAUAAACGCCUCCAUCCAAUAAAUGCCAUACCUUUCUCAUUGAUGUGGUGUCUAUUUGGGUUAGUGUUAAAAUUGGCUGAGUUGAGUUUGAAUUAAAGGGGGGUGUACGUGAGUAGGGCUAUACCAGGGCGCUAUAAAACAAUAUGUUUUACAGUGCCCUGGGUAUACAAAUCCGCCGAUCCUCCCAUAUUUGAAGUAAAAUCCGCCGUCCGACAAUGGUCUUGUUUAAAUUUGGAUCCGCUAAAAGCUCUGCUAUGAAGUCACAAUCCAGGAUCCGAACUAAAUUGCAAGCUAAAUCCACAAUCCGAGCCAAAAUAUUAGAUAAAUCCGCAAUCCGCUGUCAUGAUGAUAGACUGCUGCUUGUUGCAGGCGUGGUUUAAUAAAUAAUUUAACAGUUCAGUAUGUUCAACUGUACCAGAUAAGCCUGGCCAGAAACCCUUUUGAAUGUUUGUUUCGAUAUAUUUAUUGUCGCGCACAAAUUUUUAAAUUUUGUUCCUUAUCGCUGAGGUGAAAACUUUCAACAUGACUGGCUCUAAAACAAUAAUAAUAAUAAUAAUAAUAAUAAUGAAAAUAAUGAAAAUAAUGAAAAUAAUAAUGGAAACAGGAUAUUAUAUAUUAUAUAUUAUUGUUAACAAUUAAGUAUAUAAAAGAUCGAGAUUACUAACUAAACUACUCUAGAACUGAUAUAAUAUGUACUAUAGUCAUAAAAAUAACUCAAGUGUUUAUCUCCUGCGUAAACGCAGAGCAGUCCACUGAGAAAACAGGCAGUUAAAAGUUCAUACUUGGCUGCAUUAAUAAAAUUUAAGUAUAUUAGGGUUCGUCCAUUUUUUGUUCCGCCGUAUAUAAAUGUAGAAGGAAGCCCUCAUGGCCACUUCCAUACACUUGGAGAUCAUCCUUUGAAAAUUAAUAUUAGUUCCCUUAAAUAACACUUUUAUAUCUUCAAAGUGAGAUGUUACAAUUCCAAGAGAAGUUAUUUCAAUCGAGAAGAAUUGAAAGCCUCUCCAUCUGUCUUUACUAUCUUGUUGUAAUGUCCUGUAUUUUGCUUGCUUAUAUUCUCUUAUAAGAAUAAGAAUAAUGAAAAUAAUAAGAAGAAGAAUAAUGAAAAUAAUGAAAAUAAUAAUAAGAAUGAAAAUAAUAAUAAUGAAAAUAAUGAAAAUAAUAAUAAUGA